CAACAGGAAACAACAAAAGAAUUCAACUCAACAGCAAAAAUGUUUGGGACGAGUCUUUUAAUCUAGAUUGUUCGUGCCCUCAAGAAUUCUUGGAAAACCUUAAUCAACAAAACCUAGUGUUGGAGCUAAGGCAAAGGAAGAUGUGGGGGUCAAAACUUAUUGCGAAAAGUGAGAUUCCAUGGAAGGUGAUUCUUGAAUCACAAAACAUGGAGUUAAAAAAAUGGUUGAAGAUGGAUUUGGUGAGUGAAAGUGAUUGCAAAGAGGGUAUGUUCAUAACACCGGAAGUGGAAGUAGAGAUUAAAGUAAGAGUAGCUUCGGCUGCUGAGAUGGAAAAACAAAAUAAGAGAAGGUUGAAUAAUUGGAAUGAGUGUGGAUGCAAAAAUGGACAUGAUCAUCAAGCUUGGUGCAACACUGAAGAUUGUGAUAUAUUUGUGCUUGGUGCAGCUUUAGAAGCUUUUUGAUUUUGAUGCAAGAUUAUGCAAUGCACAUAUGUACUAACAUAGUAACAUCAGCUAAAUUAGCUUAUGAUUAUAAUGGAUUGAUUUUUUUGACAAAUUUAUAAUGGAUUUAUUCUAUAUGAUUAGAGUUUCCUUCUUUGUGCCUUGCCUGCUCUAAAAUGAUUUUGCAAACACGUUAAAACUUUUAAUUUUAUAUGUUGGAAUUGUAUAAAUGGUUUAUAGUUUCUCUCAUUCUGGUAUAACUUUGUGUCACAAUAGUUAAAUCUUCUCUUGGAAUUUCACAGACACAUUUCGCAUAUCAAAAUUGAUAAUUCAUAGACUCACAGUCACAAUCAAGUUGAGGAAUUCACAAGAUUAUAAUUAAAUCUUAAAGACAAAGCUGAUACAUACGAACUCACAGUCACUAUAGAUGAAUCUUAUCCAUGAAGAAUAUGAGAUAGAAUAGAUAUGGUGUUUGACACGUUUGACCAUUUGAGAGCUUCUCAUGGCCAAAGGGUGAUGAAACAUUUAUAGUGGUCUCAUGGUGUUUAUAUGGUGUGAAUUUGAGGGAAUAGAAAUUAGUGUAGGUUAAACAUGAGUGAAUAGUUAUCUCGGGUUUUCAAAGCUUCACAUAACUAAGGAUGGAUGAAGGGGAAUGGUGGUGUCAAUUGAUAACAAUGGUGUUAAAAUGGAGGAAGAAAGUUAGAGUUUCGAGAGGAGAAUUCGUGUAGAAAUUCAGAAUUAAGAUGAAUAGGUUGAAUAUGUCCCAACUCUUUAGAAAAUUCAGUUUUCGUCGCUUCGUGUACAUGAAUCCUCGACUUUGUACACACACGAAACCAUGUAACACAAGGUUCUGAGACACGCUAAAUGUGCGCGCACGAAAUCAGAAACAAGGACAUAGAAGUUACAUGUACGUGGGAGAACGAUUCACGAAACGCGAGUGAGUCAAGAAGUGGAAUUUCUCCAAAAUUAAGGUACCUUAAGACCUAUUAACCUUCUAAUUACUAAUUCUAAGACUCAUAAAGGUAAUUCCACACACCUAGGACUUACUCCACCUUUACAAAAAUUCUAAGAACUCCGAUGAGUUGAUAUCUGAUUUGAGUUAAAUAUCACAGGAAUUCUGAGUUCGAAUUUCAGUCCAUACAUAUACUGCAAUGUUCCUAUAAAAAAUAUUAUGUCCACACACUGCACCUUACAUUAAUAUAUCUUUUAUGAGUCUAUCCGAUUUGAGUUUGAUAUCAUUAGUUGAGGCUGAAUAAAAAAAAUAUAACACUAUUAGAUAAAGUAUUACUGAUUCUAAGGUUGCUAUCUUUUGCAUACUUAACCAGUAAAAAGAAUGUUUUGUAUAUUUAAAUGUAUCUUUUACUCAUUACCGGGGUCUAAUACAAUACAAGUGGUCAUGGUUUAUUAAUUGAGAGGUUAAUUGAAAAACCGUAUGUUAGUAUACAGAUUGGUUGAAUAACUCAUCAUCACGUCUUCAAUAUGUUUGUAACUAUAUUUUGUAAUGAGUUUUGAGUGUUCCGUAUACACUUAUGUGUUUGAUUGUGACUUUCAAAACUAUGGCUACCCAAAAAUCACGUCUCAAUGCAUUUUUUCUGCCGUGAAAUGGAGAAGCUACGAUUUCCAGCUUCACCCAAACGUAUGAAUUUUAGCUCCAGCCGUGGAUCCAAACAGUCUAUAAAUGUAAAUAUUUCUUUUAGUCAAAAUUCGAAUAUCAAUUUGCCACAAUUCAAUUUUUUUUUUUGAACGAGCAAAAAUGCCACAAUUCAAAUAUUGGUUUGUCAUGUUGUGAAAAUCUAAUCUCUUUCGAUAUAUUUGUCACGAGUCGUUAUCCUCAAUAUUAGUACUUUAUAAAAGCCAAAAGAAAAAGAUACCGCAAAAGUUUAUUAGUGGCAAUCAAAAAAUUAAAGAGUAAUUCAAAAUGAUAUUCACAUUAUGAUGGAAUUACAUGUCACAGACAAGAUUUUUGUAAAGCUUAAUGAUAGGUAUGAAAUUUUUACAAUGUUUUAUAAUAGACAUACACUAUUACAACUAGCCAAGUGAGUUAGAUAGAUAAGAAUGCAUACUAGGUUCCUAGCUUUUUCGAUGGCUGAUAGUUGAGGCCAGCGUUCAAGGCUUUUAGUUUAGCAUAUACUAAAAACCUUGUUUAUUCUAAUCUUUGAGUAUACUUUAAGGGUGUGUUUGAUAUGCUAAAACAUAAGGGACUAGACAACUUUUGUUGUACCCUGUUUGAUUUAGAAACUGGUUAUGAAUUGGACAAAAUAAGUAGUGAGGGACAAGACAAAAACAAAAUUUUUUGUCCCUCACAGGACAGUACAACUAUAAAAAAAAAAAACUAAAAUACCUAUUUUAUUUUCAAAUAUAAAAAAUAUUAUCAUUCUAUCUCUCUCCAGUAAAAGCUUUGUCUUGUCAUGUACUAUUUUGUUUUGUCUUGUAUUGUUAUAUUCAAUACUUGUUGUUUUGCGAAUCAAACGCACCCGAAUGGUUCAUGUUAUGGAUUGCAUUAAGAUACUCUAGAUUCAUAGUACAAUACCAUAUUGCAACUUGCUAGAGCCAAAUUGGAAAAACUAGCCUUUCGAAAUUCUAAAGGUUUCUUUAAUAAGAUAUAAUCUUCAACACAAACUAAUGUGCAUGACUUAAGAUUAAGUUGGUAUUAAUAUACUCACAAAAAGCACAUAUAAGAUAAUGGACGAUCAAUUUUAUACAAUACUGUGUAAGUGCUUUCAAAUUUACUUAACAAUACCAAUACUAUUAUAUUAGUGUUCAAGGAUAAGGGCAGCUUCUUGGAAAGCAUUUCCAAUUUACUUUUUCCCCACUAUAUAAUGCAUCACAUAGAACAACUCAAACAUAAACAAACCCUUUCAAAUAAUAUAUUUUUAGCCUUGGUUUCCUCUCUCUUUCUCUAGCUACAAAUACAUAACAAAAAGAAAUCCUUGCUAGUAUCAAUUUUUCAAUGGAUCCAUCCUAUGUAAACUUCAGCUGCGAACUGAGAAUAAUACAAGCUCGAAACAUCGAAUUCAUCAAGCCAACGAAAAACUUGUUUACAAGGUUGUAUCUUCCUACGGGAAACAACAAAAGUAUUCAACUCAAUAGCAAAACUGUUUCCACCAAAUCAUUGCCCUUUUGGGACGAGUCUUUUAAUCUAGAUUGUUCUUGCCCUCAAGAAUUCUUGGAAAACCUUAAUGAACAAAACCUAGUGUUGGAGCUAAGGCAAAGGAAGAUGUGGGGGUCAAAACUUAUUGGGAAAAGUGAGAUUCCAUGGAAAGUGAUUCUUGAAUCACAAAAUAUGGAGUUAAAAAAAUGGUUGAAAAU
rnacentral:lncRNA from 1 species